GUAAGUAAAGAUUUUCUGGAUUAAAAAAGGAGGAGAAAGGAGAGUCCAGACAGAAGGAAGACCUCAAAGGCUCAUUCACUAGUGAAUAAGGAGCAGUCUGGGAACCAGUAACCAGUCUGGUAUGCCAGAGGGCGGGCUUCAGGGCAAGAUGAAGCUGGCUAGAUAGGCUGAGCUUUGCAUGCCCACUCGAGAGUCAACACUUCCUCCUUGAGUUGCUGGGGGAGCUAGCUUCACCACUGUGGGAGUUAUCAGAUUCCUGCUUUGGAAGCAUCUGAGAACAGCAAUGUGGCAGAAGGCCUGGGAUUUUUCAGACUUCAGGGCACUCAGUUUUGCCUUUAAUGGAAAACCAACCUGGGUUGUACCAAUGGAAAGAGGUACAAGGUUGACCCUGGCAUCUGGAUACCCAAAGAAGCUGCAUGCAGGGUCUGUUUGGACAAUUCUAUAGAAAUGGUUGAUGUGGAAAGGUGCUGAAUGUCUUGGCCCCUCCAGGACUGCCCAGGUAAUUCUGACACUUUAUCACUACUCCUGGUUCUCACUGACUACACUCAGCAGAAUUCUGAUUUAAUAGUAAUUGCUAUACUUACAUGGGUCCAGGACUGUGCUAAGGUCCUUAGCCUUGCUUGCUAAGGCAUUCUGCCUUGAAAGAUGUUUUCAUCUUGUAGUGUCCUGUAAAACUUUUGUAAAAUAUUAGUUGUGACCUUUUCAUGUGAUACAUCCCCCCCCCUAUUAAGAACUACAUUUAUCUUUCUUUAAAAAAAUCCACAGUUCUUCAGCAUGGUUUAUCCCUUUCUGCUACUAGCACUACUUUACACCCAAUCCUUUUUCUUCUAAGAAUACAAGUCCUUCCAUCAGGAGGCCACAUUUUAGCCAGGGCUGGCUCUAGACGAUGUGUGGAUUCUCUACGCAGCCUCUCCCUCUGCUCGAGGAAGUUCCUUAGUUAGAUAGGUACUAUAGGCAGUAGAAGGAAAAAACUAAUUAUGACUUGGUGGAGUCUGGUCUCAGGUAUGCUCAGGUUUGUGCAAGGUCCAUUAUUCCAUGGCUGUUGUCAUUGGGAGGCUACACUUACAGAAAAGUGAUUCUGCACCCAGCACACCAGCCUGACUGUCAAACACAUCUGAAGCACGACAAGAUACAUUUUUUAAGUGCUGACACAGGGUGUGUGAGAGGACACCCAGCUGACUUAAAAGAGUGGGGCAGGGUUGUCUAGGUAAAUAAUCACUGUCAAGUUUGCCAGAUAUGACAGGUAACUCCCUAGAAGAACACCCAGGCCAUUCCUUUCAAAGUCAGGCAGUCAAGAGGCUGCUGAGUUUCCUCAACGCUGGCUACCUACUUGGGUAACAUGACUGCUCAUCAAACAGUCAAUGCUAGCGGGGAACUGUGAGUGCCAUAACAGCCACUGUUGUACCCAGGAGUUCUGUGUCUAUAAAGCUGAGUGGUCCAGAUUUGCUUCGUUUGGAAACAGGAGCCAGAAGAUGAAAUGUGCCAAUAGACAGUCAUGAGUAGUUGAUCAUGUUACUUCAGUUGAUUAUUUCAGUCUCACUACUCCUCAAUCAUGGAUGUUUUUAGAAUCUAUACAGUCAAAAUAGUUUUUGGUGUCACUGGGGUUGCUACUUUCAAGAGACACAAACUCUCACGGCAGAAGGACCUCCAUCUGAGCUACAGGCAUGGCAUUCGUAACUGCAGAGUCCCGGCAAACCGGAAAUGACACCGUCACUAGCAUGACUUUGUGUUGCUAAUACCAGGUGGCCAGUACCUGAUUGUUCCAUUUCCUCUCUUUCUCUCUGCCUCUCUAUCCAAAAAGGACUCAGCAAGAGGACAUGAACUGGAAUUAUGCUGGAAAAAACAACAAAACCCAGUUUGGUCUGGCAUAAGGAAAUACAUAUCGUCCGUAGAAAUACUAAAAAACCAAGCUAAAAACUGGCUCCAAUCCUGGGACACCACGGCUGGCAGUGCUAUACAGGAUCCGUGCCUCUACGUUCAGAUUUGAAAAGAGAAGAGAAUAUCACCAGUCUUGAGCAAGUCAGGACUUUACUUGCCUGGGGAGUUGGGGGAAGAAUGUGAAACUAAUUGUCUUCUCAAGACAUGGUAUUCUGUAGCCAUGGAAUUCUGGGAGUAGCUGGAGGAGGAGCGAGAGACUGAUCUUGAUGCCCGCAGAAGACUCAGGCUAUGUCUGCCGACCUGAUCCCAGGGCCUUCCAAAAGCAACAUGAGACUCCUGGGAAAGCUCAGAGAUUUUGCUCCAUAGUAGUCCACUCUGAUACCUAGUUCACUCCCCUAAUCUGCCCUAACAUUCCUUUUUCCAAAAGACAAGAGUCAGAAGUGGGGAGCAAAGGUAGUGGAGGGCAAAACCCAUUUUCAGUCUGUAAGUUCCUUCUUUUUCGUUGGCUCAUAUUCUGAACAGUGUCUCCAGUUCUGUAGCUGAUGGGGAGGAGGGGAGCCUGGCCAGGGAAAGGGAAGCAGAGCAGCCAUCUGUCAGGGCCCAGCAUUGCCCAGAGAAACUAGGAAGGGCUCUACCUAAAAUUCCCAUUGGCGCCAGUCCAAUUUCCCUCAGCUUCAAAUCAGGGCCAACUGAGGAGGGAGGGACAUGCUUCCAAAGUGGUCAAGGUGGGGCCAAAUGUUUACAGGUACGCUUCAGUAAGGAGCUCUGAAAGCCAGUGUCUGGACCUUCUGGCCGCCCCCACAGUAGCUCCAGUUAAGGUUCCGAUGGGGCAGGUGAUCUAAAAUGCCAAAUGUAUUAAAAGCAUUAUGUUGCACUCUAGUUAGAAAGCACAGUGGUACAGUGUGCUGGUCCCCUCUGGCCCCUGUGAACAGGUCCCCAAGCUGUUCAAAGUCUGCAAGGAGUACAUGUAUGCUGCCCCUAUGUGCCUUUUUUCUUGGGUUUUCAAUAAUAGCUUCCCUGAGUCCUAUCUCAGUCUUUGCCAAUCUUAAUUC
ensembl:lncRNA